rnacentral:snRNA from 1 species
AUGCUCGCUUUGGCAGCACAAAUACUAAAAUUGGAAUGAUACAGAGAAGAUUAGCAUGGCCCCUGUGCAAGGAAGACAUGCAAAUUCGUGAAGCGUUCCAUAUUUUU